AUGAACGCUGGCGGCGCGCCUAACACAUGCAAGUCGAACGAUUAAAGCACCUUCGGGUGUGUAUAAAGUGGCGAACGGCUGAGUAACACGUGGGCAACCUGCCCCUUUCAUUGGGAUAGCCACGGGAAACCGUGGAUAAUACCGAAUACUUCGAGACUUCCGCAUGGAAGACUCGAGAAAGCUCCGGCGGAGAGGGAUGGGCCCGCGGCCUGUUAGCUUGUUGGUGGGGUAACGGCCUACCAAGGCAAUGAUGGGUAGCUGGGUUGAGAGACCGACCAGCCAGAUUGGGACUGAGACACGGCCCAGACUCCUACGGGAGGCAGCAGUGGGGAAUCUUGCACAAUGGGCGAAAGCCUGAUGCAGCGACGCCGCGUGCGGGAUGAAGGCCUUCGGGUUGUAAACCGCUUUCAGCAGGGACGAGGCGAAAGUGACGGUACCUGCAGAAGAAGCCCCGGCUAACUACGUG
rnacentral:rRNA from 1 species